rnacentral:rRNA from 1 species
UACGUAGGGUGCAAGCGUUGUCCGGAAUUAUUGGGCGUAAAGAGCUCGUAGGCGGUUCGUCGCGUCGGCUGUGAAAUCCCGAGGCUCAACCUCGGGUCUGCAGUCGAUACGGGCGGACUGGAGUACUGCAGGGGAGACUGGAAUUCCUGGUGUAGCGGUGAAAUGCGCAGAUAUCAGGAGGAACACCCGUGGCGAAGGCGGCUCUCUGGGACGGUACUGACGCUGAGACGCGAAAGCGUGGGGAGCGAACAGG